UUAUACCUAUACAACCUGACAGCACCGCUCCACAGCUCAUGUGAUUCUCUCUCUUCAGUAUUCUCAACUUAUUAUCUGCGAUACAAGUUGCAACCCCGUUCCUCCAUGGAUUUUGCCGUACUUUCGCAUUCAUAGCUUAAAUUAAUUCAACUUCCAUUUGUGGAUGCUCUACCAUCUUCUUCACAAGAUAAAUUGGGGUUUGGACUUCUUCGCUGCUCUAACUUUGUUGCAUCAAGGGGUAAGGAUUCUUUGAGCCACUGGUUAUCUCCAUGUCCAAGACUCGGCUAUCAGCUGAACAUGGUUAUUUUAAAAGGAUUUACAAUGGGAAUCACGCCCAACAGCUGCAGACAUGGACUGAAAAGAGCAACAUUACCUAUUAUGGAGCUUUAUACAGAAGCAAGAGAUGGUUAGUCAAUAGAUCAAAAGGAAAGUGCUCUGGCAUGGCAUACUCAAGAACCCGAUCCUAACUUUGGUGUAUGGCAAGCAAAAGAGCUUCUUGAUCAUUUGGAGAGUGUACUGGAUAAUGAGCUUGUCAACACAUGGUGGAGGUGAAACCACAUGAUUAAGCCGAGGCAUAGUUGUUCGGAGUCUAAUGGCGUCAAUGAAGAGCAGAGGGUAGCCACCACUUUUUUCUAUGCAUAAGCGAUGGCAUAUCCGACAAAGACAUGUUUGAGAGAAUUGCAAGUCAUCUAUCAAACCUCUUUUUGCUUGAUAAAGUACAAGUGUUUGCAUCCAAUGUUGAUCAGAAACCAAGUAUGGCCUAAUAUUAUCUUAAUGAUAUAGUUGAAGUUACAAAAAUGCUUCAACACCUUUCAAAAGCAACUGCAACAUCAUCAGCUACCGCCUAAAAAGCCAAGUCAUGCAACCUCCCUUAAAUUUGUAUUGUAUAGGAGCUUCUUCAAAAGCUUUUGAUUAUGAUUUGGUUAUUAUUCAAGCUGGUGUUGGUGGCUAUGGUGCUGCUCUUUGCUCCAUCAAGAAAGUAAACCACCUUGCUGUAAUUCUGUGGUGGAUUGAGUUAUAUAGGUGUUGGUCUUCGCUUCUGCUCUUAGUUGCAGAAGAAGACUUGUGAGAGCACCUCUAUUUUAUUUUGUUAAGAUGUAUAAUUCAUAUUCAGUUGAAUAUUAUCCCAGUAUAAUGCAAAUAGUCGGCAACGAAUAUACAACUGCCUAAGCAAAACACCCUAUAGCCUAACGAAAGAAUAAGUCAUGGAGUACCAGAAUCUGAUAAGUGUGCGUAUUUGUGUGGGAACCAAGUAUAGGAGAGUAACAUAUAUGUUUUAGAACCCACACUCCCAAUUCAUCACAGUCAAGCUUGCCAAAAAUCCUACUUCUACAAUUGGUAGGUCACCGGGUUAUUCAAAUAAGUCGUGUUUUCCGUGGUUUUCCCAUGUUACAACUUCCGUAUCAAUUCGGUCGAUCCGGAAUGGAUCGGUUAAACAUUCCAUUAGGGAGCCUGGUCUUGACUCUUCUGUGUGGUAUACAUUCUCGUUCGGCUCUUGGUCUUUCCUUCUGCCUCCCCAGUUCAACAAUAAGAUUCUAUCUUCUGAUUAAGCAAGAUCUUAGUCAUUUCGCCUUUGUGUGAUAACUCUAUCUUUCUGGAAGCUACCUUCCGCCUAUCCGGAGUGUUGGAAAUAUAGCAAUAUUUUUUGUAUUUUUUAUUUCCCGAUCAUUGGAAGCAAUCUUCACUGGCACAAGGAUCGGCGGCGGGGAUUCGAAUUCCCUUGGGGGGUAUAGGUACUACGAAAGGAAGUUGAUCACGGAGAGAAGGGCCUUUGUC